rnacentral:tmRNA from 1 species
GGGGAUGUCCGGUUUCGACGGGGGUCGUCAAGGUUUUGGGAGCCAUCCGCAGCGGGAUCUGCGUUAAAAGCCCACCUAAAUAUAAACGCAAACAACAAUAAUAACGCUUACGCGUUCGCAGCCUGAGGGCUGUCGUCCUCCGCUGAGCACCUGUACUUAGCGACCUGGGCGUAAUAGGAAACAGGGAACGGUCCGCAUUAAGCUUUGCGUGCGGAACGGUAAUAUGAAGCUACUAAGGCUCUGAUUCUGUCGGCGGAAGCUGAGCCAAGGGAAUGGUAAAAUACCGACUAUGAUGGUAGCUGCCCGGAUCCGCGGGGCUUUCGGACAGGAGUUCGAUUCUCCUCAUCUCCAU